UACGUAGGGUGCAAGCGUUGUCCGGAAUUAUUGGGCGUAAAGAGCUCGUAGGCGGUCUGUCGCGUCUGCUGUGAAAACCUGGGGCUUAACCCCGGGCCUGCAGUGGGUACGGGCAGACGUAGAGUGUGGUAGGGGAGACUGGAAUUCCUGGUGUAGCGGUGAAAUGCGCAGAUAUCAGGAGGAACACCGGUGGCGAAGGCGGGUCUCUGGGCCUGACCUGACGCUGGAGGAGCGAAAGCCGUGGGGAGCGAACAGG
rnacentral:rRNA from 1 species